rnacentral:rRNA from 1 species
AUACGUAGGGUGCGAGCGUUGUCCGGAAUUACUGGGCGUAAAGAGCUCGUAGGUGGUUUGUCGCGUCGUCUGUGAAAUUCCGGGGCUUAACUCCGGGCGUGCAGGCGAUACGGGCAUAACUUGAGUACUGUAGGGGAGACUGGAAUUCCUGGUGUAGCGGUGAAAUGCGCAGAUAUCAGGAGGAACACCGGUGGCGAAGGGGGGUCUCUGGGCAGUAACUGAGGCUGAGGAGCGAAAGCAUGGGUAGCGAACAGGAUUAGAUACCCGGGUAGUCCAUGCCGUAAACGGGGGGCGCUAGGUGUAGGGGUCUUCCACGACUUCUGUGCCGUAGCUAACGCAUUAAGCGCCCCGCCUGGGGAGUACGGCCGCAAGGCUAAAACUCAAAGGAAUUGACGGGG